UUUGGAAUGACAUGUUCUAGUAGGAAUCCUAGAUAUACAAAGAGAGUAUUAGUUCAGCAGAAUCAAUAUCAUUAUGCAACAAACUAUCAACCAUUGCACUAUAUCUCAAGAAUUUAUAGUGUAGCCACCAAACAAAGUGGUAAUCAAGGCAACAUCAAUCUAACAACAAUGGCUGACUGAUGAUGUUUUAGUCCUUCCGGUUUACUAAUUCAGAGGAACUGUAACAAAAAUCGCUCUUUGGUCAAUAGCAUCAACUGAUUCUUUGAACUCUAAAUUCCACUCUUAGCUAAAAUUAUUCUUCCUCUCUUCUAUGUCAGAUCUGCACACGUCAAGUUUAAAAAUCCAUAUAAUAGCAAAGUAAAAUACGUGUGAGGAAGAAAUUAAGAGAGGGAGAGAAAGAGUGGAGCACCUAGUUCGCCGCCGGCUUGCAUCGCUCGAGCCGCCUGCAACAGGCACCUCCAGAUCCACGGGGCAGCCAUGGGAGGAGGGAUGAGCUCCUGGUUCCUCUCGCCUUCCCACACCGCCUGUUCACCUCGAGCUCCUUGCCCAGUGGGGGGGUGUGGAGGCAGAGGUGGCGCCUCUCAUGGUGCAGAGGAGGUGACGACGCGGUGGCGCAACAAGUCGACCUGCCGGCCGCCGGCAGGUGCGCGAGGCCUCACCCGGCCCCUUCCCCAUGCUAGGAUCGCUCACCUUCUCCUUCCCCGCUGUUGCUUGCCUUCCUCGCCGGCCUCCUCCUUCCCUUUUCGUCCGCAUCCUACACCUCCCCUGCAUCCCCACCCGCACCGCGAAGACGACCUACGUCCGAUCUGGAUCGACGGUGACAUGGAAGAGGACAGGAGUGUCAGGCCUGC
rnacentral:lncRNA from 1 species